rnacentral:tRNA from 1 species
GGGGAUAUGGCUCAGUGGCAGAGUUCUUGCUUUGCAUGUACAAGGUCCUGGGUUCAAUCCCAGUGCCCCCC